rnacentral:rRNA from 1 species
CCAGACUCCUACGGGAGGCAGCAGUAGGGAAUCUUCGGCAAUGGACGAAAGUCUGACCGAGCAACGCCGCGUGAGUGAAGAAGGUUUUCGGAUCGUAAAACUCUGUUGGUAGAGAAGAACGUUGGUGAGAGUGGAAAGCUCAUCAAGUGACGGUAACUACCCAGAAAGGGACGGCUAACUACGUGCCAGCACCCGCGGUAAUACUUAGGUCCCGAGCGUUGUCCGGAUUUAU